ACGGAAGGCAGCAGUGGGGAAUAUUGCACAAUGGGGGAAACCCUGAUGCAGCGACGCCGCGUGAGUGAAGAAGUUAUUCGUAAUGUAAAGCUCUAUCAGCAGGGAAGAAAAUGACGGUACCUGAUUAAGAAGCCCCGGCUAACUACGUGCCAGCAGCCGCGGUAAUACGUAGGGGGCAAGCGUUAUCCGGAUUUACUGGGUGUAAAGGGAGCGUAGACGGUCUAGCAAGUCUGAUGUGAAAGGCAGGGGCUCAACUCCUGGACUGCAUUGGAAACUGUUAGUCUUGAGUGUCGGAGAGGUAAGCGGAAUUCCUAGUGUAGCGGUGAAAUGCGUAGAUAUUAGGAGGAACACCAGUGGCGAAGGCGGCUUACUGGACGAUAACUGACGUUGAGGCUCGAAAGCGUGGGGAGCAAACAGGAUUAGAUACCCUGGUA
rnacentral:rRNA from 1 species